rnacentral:rRNA from 1 species
UCAGUAACGGCGAGUGAAGCGGCAACAGCUCAAAUUUGAAAUCUGGCCCCAGGCCCGAGUUGUAAUUUGCAGAGGAUGUUUCUGGCGAGGUGCCUUCCGAGUUCCCUGGAACGGGACGCCAUAGAGGGUGAGAGCCCCGUCCGGUCGUGCGCUAAGCCUAUGUGAAACUCCUUCGACGAGUCGAGUAGUUUGGGAAUGCUGCUCUAAAUGGGAGGUAUACGUCUUCUAAAGCUAAAUACCGGCCAGAGACCGAUAGCGCACAAGUAGAGUGAUCGAAAGAUGAAAAGCACUUUGAAAAGAGGGUUAAAAAGUACGUGAAAUUGUUGAAAGGGAAGCGUUUAUGACCAGACUUGGGCCCGGUCAAUCAUCCAGCGUUCUCGCUGGUGCACUUGGCCGGCCCAGGCCAGCAUCAGUUCGCCCCGGGGGAUAAAGGCUUCGGGAACGUGGCUCCCUCGGGAGUGUUAUAGCCCGUUGCGCAAUAUCCUGGGGCGGACUGAGGUUCGCGCAUCUGCAAGGAUGCUGGCGUAAUGGUCAUCAACGACCCGUCUUGAAACACGGACCAAGGAGUCGUCUUCGUAUGCGAGUGUUCGGGUGUCAAACCCCUGCGCGUAAUGAAAGUGAACGUAGGUGAGAGCUUCGGCGCAUCACCGACCGAUCCUGAUGUUCUCGGAUGGAUUUGAGUAAGAGCAUACGGGGCCGGACCCGAAAGAAGGUGAACUAUGCCUGUAUAGGGUGAAGCCAGAGGAAACUCUGGUGGAGGCUCGCAGCGGUUCUGACGUGCAAAUCGAUCGUCAAAUAUGGGCAU